UACGGAGGGAGCUAGCGUUGUUCGGAAUUACUGGGCGUAAAGCGCGCGUAGGCGGCCUUGCAAGUUAGAGGUGAAAGCCCGGGGCUCAACUCCGGAAUUGCCUUUAAGACUGCAUCGCUAGAAUUGUGGAGAGGUAAGUGGAAUUCCGAGUGUAGAGGUGAAAUUCGUAGAUAUUCGGAAGAACACCAGUGGCGAAGGCGACUUACUGGACACAUAUUGACGCUGAGGUGCGAAAGCGUGGGGAGCAAACAGG
rnacentral:rRNA from 1 species